AUCUCCCAAGGGGGUAGGGUUUCCACACAUGCUAGCAUACUUAUCGGAGACUCUGAUUGAAUCCAAAAUUCUAAUCAACCUUAUCAAAAGGAUCCUUGGCCAAUUUUUUUAUAUGUGUGAUUCAUUAGAUUUCAUAUCUAGCUAGUAGUAGGUCUGGAUACAAGUUGACCUAAUUUGAUUAGACUCCAAUCUAACCGAUUUAGGUCCAAUCAAGCUCACCCAAGUUCAACAAUUAGAAUCUUUUUUAAUUGGUAAUUAAAUUAAACUCUUUAAUUCGAUCAAACCUACAAGUCAAGAUUGAUAUCUAGCAACAUAUCAUAACUACUCAGA
rnacentral:lncRNA from 1 species